UACGUAGGUGGCAAGCGUUGUCCGGAAUUAUUGGGCGUAAAGCGCGCGCAGGCGGUCCUUUAAGUCUGAUGUGAAAGCCCACGGCUCAACCGUGGAGGGUCAUUGGAAACUGGGGGACUUGAGUGCAGAAGAGGAGAGUGGAAUUCCACGUGUAGCGGUGAAAUGCGUAGAGAUGUGGAGGAACACCAGUGGCGAAGGCGAAUCUCUGGACAGUUACUGACACUGAGGCACGAAGGCCAGGGGAGCAAACGGG
rnacentral:rRNA from 1 species